rnacentral:rRNA from 1 species
ACGCUAGCUACAGGCUUAACACAUGCAAGUCGAGGGGCAGCAUGGUCUUAGCUUGCUAAGACUGAUGGCGACCGGCGCACGGGUGAGUAACACGUAUCCAACCUGCCGUCUACUCUUGGCCAGCCUUCUGAAAGGAAGAUUAAUCCAGGAUGGCAUCAUGAGUUCACAUGUCCGCAUGAUUAAAGGUAUUUUCCGGUAGACGAUGGGGAUGCGUUCCAUUAGAUAGUAGGCGGGGUAACGGCCCACCUAGUCAACGAUGGAUAGGGGUUCUGAGAGGAAGGUCCCCCACAUUGGAACUGAGACACGGUCCAAACUCCUACGGGAGGCAGCAGUGAGGAAUAUUGGUCAAUGGGCGAUGGCCUGAACCAGCCAAGUAGCGUGAAGGAUGACGG